GCUCUUGUAGCUCAGGGGUAGAGCAAUGGAUUGCAGAUCCAUAGGUCAUGUGUUCAAAUCACGUCGGGAGCU